rnacentral:rRNA from 1 species
GACGAACGCUGGCGGCGUGCUUAACACAUGCAAGUCGAACGGAAAGGCCCUGCUUGCAGGGUACUCGAGUGGCGAACGGGUGAGUAACACGUGGGUGAUCUGCCCUGCACUUCGGGAUAAGCCUGGGAAACUGGGUCUAAUACCGGAUAGGAGCCAUUUUUAGUGUGAUGGUUGGAAAGUUUUUUCGGUGUAGGAUGAGCUCGCGGCCUAUCAGCUUGUUGGUGGGGUAGUGGCCUACCAAGGCGGCGACGGGUAGCCGGCCUGAGAGGGUGGACGGCCACAUUGGGACUGAGAUACGGCCCAGACUCCUACGGGAGGCAGCAGUGGGGAAUAUUGCACAAUGGGCGCAAGCCUGAUGCAGCGACGCCGCGUGGGGGAUGACGGCCUUCGGGUUGUAAACUCCUUUCGCUAGGGACGAAGCUUUUUGUGACGGUACCUAGAUAAGAAGCACCGGCUACCUACGU